rnacentral:rRNA from 1 species
GACGAACGCUGGCGGCGUGCUUAACACAUGCAAGUCGAACGGAAAGACCCUGCUUUUGUGGGGUGCUCGAGUGGCGAACGGGUGAGUAACACGUGAGUAACCUGCCCUUGACUUUGGGAUAACUUCAGGAAACUGGGGCUAUUUCCGACUGGAUGUUCUGUCCCCUCGGGGGGGUUGGUAAGGUUUCGGCGGUUGGGGAUGUGCUCGCGGUUUGUCAGCUGGUUGGUGGGGUAGUGGUUUACCAAGGCUUGACCGGGUAGCCGGCCUGAGAGGGUGACCGGCCAAAUUGGGACUGAGAUACGGCCCGGACUCCUACGGGAGGCAGCAGUGGGGAAUAUUGCACGAUGGGCGGAAGCCUGAUGCAGCAACGCCGCGUGCGGGAUGACGGCCUUCGGGUUGUAAACCGCUUUCGCCUGUGACGAAGCGUGAGUGACGGUAAUGGGUAAAGAAGCACCGGCUAACUACGUG